UUGACCUCAAAUCAGGUAGGACUACCCGCUGAACUUAAGCAUAUCAAUAAGCGGAGGAAAAGAAACUAACAAGGAUUCCCCUAGUAACCGCGAGUGAAGCGGGAAAAGCUCAAAUUUAAAAUCUGGUAGUCUUUGGCUGCCCGAGUUGUAAUCUAGAGAAGCAUUAUCUGCGCUGGACUGUGUAUAAGUGUCCUGGAAUAGACCAUCAUAGAGGGUGACAAUCCCGUCUUUGACACAGACUCCCAGUGCUUUGUGAUGUGCUCUCAAAGAGUCGAGUUGUUUGGGAAUGCAGCUCUAAAUGGGUGGUAAGUUCCAUCUAAAGCUAAAUAUUGG
rnacentral:rRNA from 1 species